UUUGCCGGUACCAUAUGAAUAAGCAUCGGCUAACUCCGUGCCAGCAGCCGCGGUAAUACGGAGGAUGCGAGCGUUAUCCGGAUUCAUUGGGUUUAAAGGGUGCGUAGGCGGAAUAUUAAGUCAGGGGUGAAAGUUUGUGGCUCAACCAUAAAAUUGCCUUUGAUACUGGUAUUCUUGAGUACAUUUGAGGUAGGCGGAAUGUGUUGUGUAGCGGUGAAAUGCUUAGAUAUAACACAGAACACCGAUUGCGAAGGCAGCUUACUAAACUGUCACUGACGCUGAUGCACGAAAGCGUGGGGAUCGAACAGGAUUAGAUACCCUGGUAG
rnacentral:rRNA from 1 species